rnacentral:rRNA from 1 species
GACGAACGCUGGCGGCGUGCCUAAUACAUGCAAGUCGAACGCAGUGGGGACGGGUGAGUAACACGUGGGUAACCUCCCAUCAGAGGGGAUAACACUUGGAAACAGGUGCUAAACCGAUACUGAUGGAUGGACCCGCGGUGCAUUAGCUCGUUGGUGAGGUAACGGCUCACCAAGGACACGAUGCAUAGCCGAGCGGGGAGUGUGCGCGGCCACACCGAUAAUGAGACACGGCCCAGACUCCUCCGGUAGGCAGGAGUAGGGACUCUUCGGAGAUGGACGAAAGUCUGACCGAUCAACGCCGCGUGAGUGAAGAAGUUUUUUGUAUCGUAAAACUCUGUUGUUAGAGAAGCGGUAUCUAACCAGAAAGCCACGGCUAACUACGUGCCAGCAGCGGCGGUAAUUC